UUUUUUUUUUUUUUUUUUUUUUUGGUGGGCAAGCUCCUAGCCUCACAUUAAAAGCGUAAUUUUCUCAUUAUUGCGUUUUCCAAAUUGGUGUCGUUUUCAAAAAAUUAGUACAUAAUUUUUAUUCUUUUGCCACUCCUAUUCCUUGUCCUUUUUAGAAAGAUAAUAUACACCAUUCAAAUUUCUUAAUGUGGAGGGUGAACUUUGAAAACUCUGUGUAAGUAUCACCAUUAGGUCAUUAUUGUUAAAAUGUUGAGUUGCCCAAAAAUGACAAAUAUUUGGGAUGGAGGGAUUGAUUAGUAAAGUAAACAUAGGAAAUACAAAGAAAGCAAGAAAGAAGUGCAAAGAAAAUUCAUAAUGGUAGCUUUCUACACCAAUCAGAUGUAUGUGUAUACUUUUAUAUAUAUAUAUAUAUAUAUAUAUAUAUGUAUGUAUUCUUUAUUACUCGUUAGACGUUAUAUUUUUCAUUCCAUAAAGUAAGUAUACAUUAGUAUUUUGGGAGUUCACAAACAUUGUCACAUUUUUAAUAUUAUACUUCUUUACCCCACAUAAUAAAGUGACACAUGUUCCUUUAUUUUACAUUAACGAUGGCCAUGAAUCAUGUAAGAAUAGUCUGUGGAUGAUAUCUUCUAACUAAUAUUAAAUUAAAAGGCACAUCACGCCCCAAUCCAUGGUGUAAAAGAGUUUUGGAUUCAAAUCCUCUUUCUCCAUUUUUACUUUUUAAAUCUCACACGUCCCUUGGUAAUUUUUUUUUUUAAAAGUUUUAUAGGGUAAAAAGGAUUUCCAAAAGGCAAUAGAAAUUUCCAAAAUUUCAGAUUAAAGUGAAGUAGUGUGUCCUGAAUGAUUCACAAAAAAGAUUUUCAUUGCUUAAUCCUUUUCCCCUUUGGAUUUCAAUCCGCAUAACCUGCUUUAUAUGCUACCACUUAAUCAACCCGCGCUUAAUGAUUCAAAUCCAAAAUUCACGCUUCUCAGCUAAACACAGUCCACGCUUUCUCGAAACUAUCUUAACCAUUCUAAGUCCAUUCCGGGCAAGCAUGCAGAUCUUCGUCAUAUCCCAAAGCAGCAGGACCAUUGUUUUCGAGGUGGAAAUUUCCGAUACCAUCCAAGUCGUCAAGGCCAAGCUUCAGCUGAAAGAUGGAAUCCCUCCUCAGCACCAGAGCCUCGUAUUGGCCGGCAAACAACUAGAUGAAGAUCGCACACUCGAGGAUUACGACAUCUAGGAGAACUCCACAUUAAUGGCAAGGCCGAGGUACACUGACCAGCGAUGUUUUUAAACUUGGACCGGUCAGCGAACCGGAGAGGUGGCCGGUUCGCGGUUCGACCGGUCCAACCGGCCGGUUCACAGGUUCACUGUUUUGUUUUUUUUGUUUUUACUAAGCAAGUUUCAUUACUUGACAGCUAAUGUACAAUUUAAUAUAAUUAUUGAUAACUUAAGUUUCUAAAAUGCAUUCACCAACAUAACUAAAUUUAAGUUGAAAUAAUAAUAAAUUUCCUAAAAGUUAUACAUAAAACAUGGAAUGAUAAACAUAAUUAAAAUAUCAUAAUUCACCACAAGUUUUCAUAAAUUCAUUAUAAACAUAAAUAGAUACAAUCCAAAUGUUCACCAAUUAUCACAAAUAAAAACACAAAAAAUAACUAAAAUAAAUAUUGAAAUUCUUUUACAAUCCUUAAAAAAAUCCAUAAAAGAGUUCAACUCAAGACAAACCAUUUGAAUGACAAACUUCCAUUAGUGGCAUGACAAGUAGCAACAACACCACCUUCACAAUUUCAUCAACUUAACUUGGAAAAGUUAAAAUUUUAUUAUAAAAAUAUAAAUUAAUUGCUCAAACUAAAAAAAACUAAAAAAAUUUGAAAAACAAAUAUACAGCUAAACACAUUAAAAAUUAAUUAUUACUAAACAUCACUAAUUAACAUGUUAUAUUAAAUUCAAUGAUCCUAUACAAUUAAUUAUUUUAAAUUCAAUGAUCAAUAGCUUCGAUUAUAUGCCAACUAACAUAUUUUUUACCAGCCUAAUGUUAUUAUUUGUAAGUCCUACCCAAUUCCUACAUGGAGGUGUGCUACUUUUGCAAAAAUUUCAUCCUUAAUUACUCAAAUAAAAAUAAAACAAAAAUUAGGGAAACAGAUGAAAAUUGGGGGGGAGGGAAAAAGAAGAAAAUGCAAAAAAAAAAUCAACUAAAGAUAAUAAUAUAGAAAAAAAAGCUUGAAAAGAGAAAAAUUAAACUUACCAAAAUGAUGGAAAACAAGAAAAGUUGAAAUUUCCAACUUGUUUACAAUCUGCCAAAGAUGAUAACCUGAUAAUAAUGGUGAAGACUUGAGAAAAUCUUGUUGUGGAUAUUUGGGUUUAAAAUGGUUAUGAAGAAAAAAUUGAAAAAAAAAAUCAAGAGAAGAACUAGAGAGCGCCGCCUAAUGAAGCCGAGAAAGUAAUUGAUGGAAAGAAAAUUUAGAAAAGUUCAUCUGCAUUGAUGCACUUUGCUUUUUCUGUACCUGAUAUUUUAAUAUAUUUUUAGUCAAAUAGAAUUGUCAACAAGCUUAACUAUGGUCUAGUGGUAAAAUUGUCAUAUGUAAAUGUGGAAGCUUAGGUUCGAAUCGGAGCUACACCAUUUUUGAUAUUUUGUUGAGGAAUUAAAAAAACCGUCGGUUUACGGUUCGAACGGUUCAUCCGGUUUUCAAUGGUUUUCAUGAACUUCCGGUUUUAGCACUAGAUCGGACCGUUGACAUGUCCGGUUCGUGGUCCAACCGGUUGAACCGACCGGUCCGGUCCGACUCUGAAAACAUUGCUGACAAGAGAAAAUUCCAUCAUAUGCAGCCAUAUGAUCCUCCCAAUAAACCUCACAAAAGCACCCUCCCCAAAUCUUUGUCGGAAAACAGUCCACAAAAGUACCCGCCCGUGUUUAUCAUAGUAAUCGUUUAUUUUUUUGGUUAAUUGUACUGCUUCUUGAUGCUAACUAUGACAGGUUUCUUGACGUUAUUAGAUGCCAUUUAUGUUUUUUUAGCAAUGAUCAGUUAAUUGGAAAUCUUUUAUCUUGUAUUAUUGACUGGAAUUUGAAUUCUUGCGGUUAGAUUUUAUGUUCUUUACUGAUUAGCGAUACAGAAUUAAGCUAAUACAGAAUUAAUUCAUCUUGUAUUUAUGAUUGGAAUUUCUUCAUAUCAAUAAAUAUAGUAUCCCUAGACAUUGCACCUUUUACAUGGCUUAAUUAUAUAAAUAGUUAUUGACGAAAAAAAAUUAUAUAAACUGUUUGGCUAAGUUGUGCACCACUCACUCAUUAAUAGGGGUUUCAAGUAUUAGUUUUUUAGAAAAGUACAAAUAACAUGGAAAAAUGUAUAAAAACAAGGACAUAAUAAUUGUGAUUGUGUGUAUCAACAUAACAAAUUAGGGAAAAAUGCACUUUUCAUCCUUAAAGUUUGGGUUGUUAACCAAUUUUAUUCUCAAAAUUUCACCCAAAACGCAUUUUAUCCUCAAAGUUAGUAAUUUUGGCCAAUUAAGGACAAUUGACGGGAAUUGGCAAAUUUAUCGUUAGAACCAACUGUAAACCCAACAAAAAAUGGGUAAAAUCGAAUGGAACCGUAUUUCACAGCAGACGCUAAAAUACAAAGGGAUCAGUCACCAAGGUCAUGGCCCAGAAAAGUCAGUAGCUCUCUUUCCUAUGUUAUUGAUCCCUCCUUCUUGGACUUGGGAUCGCGAAAAAUCUAGAUGGGGACAAAGGAAACCCAUAACCAGGAGAAGGAGGCACUUAAGGCCCCGGGCCUAGUAUCCCUGAUUGAGCCAUUGGAGAAAGUGAGAAAUUUGGAGUCAUUGGAGAAGGGUGCUGAAAACUAGGAGAAAGCAAUGGAUACGAUGAUCUAGGAGAAAACAAAUUUAAGAAACCAGUUGGUGAUGGCAAAAGAAACUGAGAAGUUGGGGAAGGCAAAAGUGGAUGUGGACCAUUUAUUCGAGGUGAAGGAAGAGAGGGUGGAGGACCAUUCAUCCUAGGAGAUGGAAAAGGAGGAGGACCGUUCAUCCUAGGAGAUGUAAGUGGUGGAGGCAUGUUCAUUCUUGGAGAUGGGAUAGGCGGCAUAUGCGGAUUAGGAAGUAAACCAGAAGCAGAUGGCUGAGCUUGAUUUGGACCAAGACCCUGAGGUAUUAACUAGGGAAAAGGUUGCCUUGGCCCUGAAUCUAUGAUUGAAUUUUGAAGGUAUCGCAUGUAAGCUGAUAUAGGAGACUCAGCUGUGUUUGGCCAAGCAUCACCAGGAAUGAAGGGUGGCAACAUAGUUGGUGAUGGUUGGCCAUACUGGGGGAGAGGAGGUCUUGUGAAGUUGUUGUUGUAUGGAACACUAGCUGGAGGCUGUGCGGGAGCUGGCACUGGUACAGGAGGUUGAAUCGUCAUAGGAGGUCGAUUUAUUGGUGUCAAGGGCGGUGGCUGAAUCUUCUGCAACCGCAUACUUGCAGGUUUGGGGGGAUUUUGGGGAGGCCUAGGAGCAGGUGGUUCUUGAUUAUUCGAAGGUGAACCAGCAAACUGUUGCACUAUGUUUCGAAAAUCAUUUUUAUUAAUAUUAUACACCUAAGGCUGAGGUUGCUGCUUGGCAGUUUUAGUAAAAUUGGGUCGGUACAUUGGACUCUUCUUUAUGUUCUUCCCUAUCUUAUUCACACCCAAAUGAUCCGUAUGCCGAUUCAUCUGCCUAUUGGUACUAUCCAUAUCAACACCUUGAACCGACCAACAAAUUCAGAAUGGUGCAAGCUCAAAUUUCUUUUCUUCUUCAGCUAGUGAAUCCAACAAUUACCAUCUUAAGCAUCAAAACACCAACUGAUGAUCAAACCAAAGUAAAACUCAAAACUUUUGUGUAUUGAUUUUGAUGAUGUUUUUGCAGGGAUGAAGAUUAAGACAGACACACCUCUUGCCAAGAAGGCACGAGAAAGAGUUAUGGAAUUUUGCUAAUGAAUCAUCCGUUGGAUUGCCCAAUUUGUGAUCAAGGUGGGGAAUGUGGCUCCAUUCGGUUUUACCCAUUUUUUUGUUGGGUUUAUAGUUGGUUCUAACGAUAAAUUUGCCAAUUCUCGUCAAUUGUCCUUAAUUGGCCGAAAUUACGUAAUUUUGAGGAUGAAAUGUGUUUUGGAUAAAACUUUGAGGAUGAAAUUGGUCAACAGCCCAAACUUUAAGGAUGAAAAGUGCAUUUUUCCCUAACAAAUUAAGUAAUUUGUGUGUGCUAACUAGUGCUCAUUGGAUACUGAUCACUAGAAAAACCCUUACAUAAAUCAAGAAAGAUUAAUCUUACCUAAUUGCAAAACUAAGGUUACUCAUUGACAAAGUAUAAAUUGUUUUUCUUUUUGGUAAUUUUGUAAAUUGAUUUUUUAUUUGUUCAUGAAAUAAUGUCUUGACUAUAAGGAAAAAACAAAAUAUUGGGCUUAACUUAAUUUUAAUAAUAAUUAACAUCAAACCGUGAUUUUUUACAUUGAGGCCAUAAAAUCAUAGUAAUUCAUCAGACUUUCAGAGUUUUACAACACACUUUGUUGGGGAAAAAAUGGGAAAAAGAAUACACAACUGCAAACAUAAUCUAUUGUAUCUCCAGUUUAUCACGAGAGUCGGUGUCUCCUAGGCUACCGAUACCAAAAGGAUAAGCAUUAAGUAAUGAGGAUAAUGCAGAGUAUGCCAAUCUGGAAGAUGCUUCGUACACUAUUUCACUGGGAUGGAAAUCAUCCCAGAAAUAAUAUUCGUUUCUGUUGCUGCAGGGAAUUUGUCCAGGAAUGCAUUGUCCAGCACUAACUGUUGUAGACACAUUGCAGCAUGGUGCUUUAUCAAUUGUAAUUUCUGAGAUAGAUUUAGUGUAAGAAUGAAUUGAAAAAAGAAAAAAAAAACACAGUAUCAAAGAAAAAUGUGGAAGUAGACGUGUAGAAGAUAGAUGUACAAUGACGUUUUUUCUUUUUUUUCUUUUCUUUUCGUUUUUGUUUCUACAUAAACUGAAAUUUCCUAAGUGAACCUUAUGUAUCCAACUACACAUUCAAAUGGAAGCAUCAAUUUUUAGAAAAUGGCAAGUGGCAAGAUAGGAUAAUUUUGCUUUUAUAUUUACAUGUGAAAUGCUGAGUAGCUGAAGUGUUUCUAAGUCAAUCGUUCCAUUAAAACGUUAAUUUGCUUCAUUGGACUUCGAGUUUAUGCAAGUAUAUAUACUGAUGAAUUAUCAUUCCAUAUAGUAGCAACCAAUAUUUCGUGUUCAAAUGGUUAAAAGAUAAGAAAUCUAAUUGUUCAAAAUGUAUUAGACGGUUUAGAUCAUUUUAUUAGGAAAGGUAUGAAAAAUAAGAACCAAAAAAAAAAAAUUUUCAUAGAAGGGUACAACUUUUGGUAAAUAAGGGUAUGGGUAUUGUUCAUUGAUUAAAACAGUUAAUAAAUUUAUUGUUAAAUAACUAGAUCUUGUUUGAUAACCCAAUUCAGCACUUAAAUUUAAUAAUUUCAUAUUUUAACAUAUUCAGACUCGUUUGAUAAUAAAAAAUAAAACAUCUAAAUUAAUUAAGUGACACUGAAUUUUCUAAGCAAAAUUUGUUCGAAAAAUAAGUGAUAAGUUAUUCAUUUAUUACUUAAUAUGGUAUAUACUCAAAUAUAUUAGAUUUAGUGCUUAAUAAUUCAGUAACUUAAUGAAUUCAAAUUUUAGAUUUCAUAUUUGAAUUUUCAUAUUUCAGUUUUAUCAAACGCAUUCUAAAUCACCUUCAUAGAAUUGUGCACUCUAGUGUAUAGGGCAUCUACACAAAUAUUAUAUUAAGAGAUAAACUCUUUGGUUUAUGAGCCUCUUCAUUUUGAUAUUGCAUUAUCAUGAUUUUCAUAAACUUCAAAAGAAAACAACCCAAGAAUGUUAAAUGUGGUAACUAACCAAAUAAUUGCCAACUUGCAUCUUUUUCAAAGAAUGAAAUUAUUAUCCACACAUUUUACCUCAGUCUUUAUAACAAAAAUGUUGUAAAAUUAAGUUCAAUAAGCUUAUUUUGUAACCAAAACCUUGAUAUUCUUUUCGAUUGCAUGAACAUCAGGUUUGCCUUCAUCACCGUCCUAUAUUAUCUGUGCAGGUUGAGUCUAAAUAAACACUUUCGGUUUCCAUAAAGUAGAAGUUCCAACGUACCUGCAGGCAUAGUGCUCAAAGUGAUUGCUGUCACAUUUACAUAGAUAAAAUGUGCACUGCUUAACUCGGCAUUCAGUUCAUCGACCAGUGGCUUGAGCUCCUCAUUGAAUAACUGAACUUCACUAUUUAAAGAAUCCACACAUGUACCAUCUAUAGAUAACAAACCAGGCACACAACCAAGGAAACCUAGCCCAAAAAUAGCUAUUUUUCUUGCCCCCAAUCUGUACAAUUUCUAGCACCAAAAGGGAUACGAGUUAGGUUUUUUCUUUUUCUUUUUUAAAUGUAUAUUCAACGUGAACAUCAAAAUUUAAUGAUGGAAAAUGGAAAUUUGUUAAAAGAAAAUAAUUAUACGAACCCGUAGUUGCUGAGAAUAUUCUUUAAUCAACAUUCUAGCAAAUUGUCUUGGAGUACAUAGGCGGCUUGCAGCAUAACAUUCUGGCAGUAAGUAGCUGUCGAUGUAAUCGUUACUUCCAAUUGCAAAAGUAUACAAACAUUUGGCUAGGUAUUCUUUUGUUGCAGCUUCGUUCCCAAUUAAUCUCACAAGCUGCGAAGUUACUCUUCUAUGAUUUUGCAAUUGUUGGUUGAGGCUGACGAUAUCGCCCUAUUAGUAAAAAAGAAAGCAAUGUAGUGUGAGUUUUGGCUAGCUUGCCUCCCUCAAGAGGUCAGUAACAACAAAAAGAAAAGCAAAGCACCAAUACUGGAUUCUUGAGAUUUUGAAAUAAAUUUUUUAGCAUAAUUAGGUAAUAAUGAAUGUAUCCCAUUAGCUUUCUUUUAUUAAGCAAUUUUAAAGAAGUGGAAAUGUGUAUCAGACAAGAAAUUGGACAAUAAAAGAAAAAAUAGGUCAAGUUAUGAGUCAUGACUAUUUACAUUUCUAAUGAGGCCAUUGUGGCAUUGUGACCAGAAUCCAUGGUCCGCAGCUGAUAUGUUCACUACAUUAUUUGUUCCUUUUUUCAUUUUUCAUUUUCCCCCCAAGUAUUCUUACCACUUCAGUGUGCCAUAUGGUUCAUUUGUGUUAAAAUUGAAGACUAAUCCGCCAAUUGAAAAAUGGAGUUUGAUUUUUGUGCACUAACUUGGAAAAAGUUGAUAUAUUAAAUAAUAAUAGGUGGUCAAUAAAACUAUAGUAGUGACCAAACAAUACUGUUAAUGAUGCCAUGAAAAAAAUUGGCAAAAAGGGACUAGCAAUUAACCGGUAUUCUCAGAAUUUCAUUAGAUCUUUUGUUGAAAUCGAUGCAAUUGACAGGUGAAAUUUGUAUUUAAUAAACAUUUGGCUGUUUAAAGCAUUAAACUAUUUUGCAGAAACUAUAAGUUUCAUUUUGUUAUUGGGGUAAACCUCAAGUGAGAUAAAUGUAACCAACUCAAUUUACAAAAUGGUAAUUUGGGACUUUUAGAUAUAUAUAUAUAUAUAUAUUUUUGGUUGGUGCAUGCAACACAUGAUAGCGACUAAUGUCUGGGAGUAUUUGAUAUACGUUUUGUCAUUCAAGGGGUUUAACUAUAAUUUUGCAAAACAACAAGGUAGUUUUGUAAUUUGGUCAAAACCACAGGGAUGAUAAAUGUAAUUAACCCAAAAAACUAUAUAAAUAAUAUAAAUAAAAAUUUUCCAUUUGAAAUUCUCCUAGAUAAGACAAUUGUAUGAAUACUUAGAUCUAAAGUCAAAACGGGAAGAGGAAGGGAUGGAUUGGACAAUAUGGAAGGAAAGAAUAUAAGUGAGAGAUUUCAGUUCGAGGUCUCCGCUUACAUUAUAUUAAAAAAAAAAAGAAAUAAAAAGAAGAAGUCAGAACGGAAAGGUCCAAUGGAGCCCAAACAUUGGCCUUGAACUAUAGGCCCCCCAAACAAUUCUGUUCCAGUUCAAGGUUAAAUGAAAUUCACUUGAAUCAAGGAUCCAUGCCUCAUUAGUCUAUUUUAGUCCACUUCAAGUUUAAAUGUCUAUUUCAAAUUUUUGUAAAUCCUACUCUAAUUUGUUUAUAUUGUAUUGAAACUUAUGUACAUCUCAUUCUAACUUGUUUACACUCUAAAGGCCAGCUAAUUUGAUAUGGAACUUGUGACCAGAGAAGAAUGUGGAUAUAUGAUCAUGCCAGUAUCCCCUUAUUGGACCAUUCAUAGUACUGGAUUUUGGACAUAGUUCGAAAACCAUGGUGAAUAAGUGACUCGAAUCGUUGUCAAAAUAACUAAUCAGAAUUAAGUGCCCAUGCCAACAUGUCGUGGUUAAGCGAGGAUUAAGGGUCUAAGCUUGAGUCUACUUAACACUUCUAACUGGCAGUAUGCGAGAAUGAGCCUACACUUUGAUCUACACAUAGUGGACAAUCACUCUAGAUUUCAUUGCACACAAAAAUUAAAAGAAAAUGAAAAUCAAGAAGCCAAGUAGUCUCCUCACUAUAAUGUGAUUUGACCAUUUUUGGAUUGUCAUUUUUUCUCAAAAAAAUUUUACCUUUUCAUGAAUACAUUUUUCAAUCAUCAUAUAUAUCAAAUCGUUACAUUACAUUUUUUUUUAACAAAGACUUCAGAAAACAAUGAUCCAAACGGGAGCACAUUAUAAAUUAUUUUGGCCAGAAGGAAAUUUAUUUGCCAAUAUUCUAAUUCUCAAUUCAUAAAUAUUUAUAAAUGUUAAUGCAUCUUCUGAUUUAGUUAAAUUAUGUUUAACUCGAGAUCUACUGAGUGUAACACAUAAUAGAACCAUGUACAAUGUGUGUAUAGGUAAUUGAAGAAGACCACAAAUAAUAAACUUGGCAUUCAUGGACAUCCUCAUGUCAUAGUACUGUACAAGGUACUAUACAUUUUCGGUGUCAUAAAAAAAUUUUCGGUGGGCACAUUAAUGGCACCUGACUUAUUAGGCAGUGACAUGUUCUCGUUUUUGAACGUCAUAUAAAAGGUCUGGUACUACAAUGCGUCACAUUCCAACCCAGCAAAAACGCCUUUCAAGAAACAUGGACAAGAGCAUGGACAAGAAAAUGGCAGAAAAAGAAACAUGGACAAGAGCAAAAUUGAAAAAUAGAGACAAUUGGAGAGAGAGUUUAUGUUAGUCUUGAAAUUGAACAGAAUUGGAUUUCUUGAAUAUACUGCAAUUGCAAAACAAAGGGCCGUUAAAUCAGUUCUUAGCAUGUGGAUCGAUGAACAAAAUAUAAACUAUUUACUUUGCAUUGAGAUACAUAUACAGUAUCAUGUGAUUUUUUUUUUUUUUUUAAAAAAAAGGUUUAAAAUGGCUGAAGUGAUUUAGGCAAUUUUGUUUUCAUUUUGUAAGUGUAUUCUAACCAGAGUAAUGAGAGAAUAUAGUAACAUUGAUCUGAAAUUUCAAAACUUUUUAUUUUUCAAAACAAAAAUGUAUAAUUACCAGCUGGCGACCUGUCUGGUCAAGAAUUCCGGAUGCUGCUGAUGCAUAGUUAACGCCUUCAGUGAUGUCCUGGCCUUUGAUAUUUGCAAAUGGAGGCAUGUAGCCGGCAAAUCCAAGGAGCUCAGCUGCCAGAAACAGACGUAUACUUUCUUUCUAUCAUUAAGUAGCACAUAUCUAAGUGGCAAGCCCUAGCUUGUUUACGAAAUUCAUCUCUCUUUUUUUUCAGUCCUUAAACUUCAAGCAUCUCUUUACGAGAUAGAUUUCAUAUUUUAAGAGUAAUGUUCGAAGUUGAAGUUUAAGAACUAUAAAGUUGAUGCUUUCAUAUUUUAAGAGUUAAAAGUGUCCAAGAAUAAAAAUUAAAAACUCAGCUUGAAAUGCUUUUAGGAGUCCAAAGUGGAAUAUAGUCUUCAAUUCAUAAAAGAGUCCAUACGAAUCAAAAAACUUUUUGAAAGAAAUAAUACAAUUUAAAAAAAAAAAAAAAAAAAAGAAGUUUUGUGCUGGAUAUUGAAAAAGAAAGAGAUGGUUACCUAUGAAGUCCGCAUGGUUUCGCCCAUUGGUGAAGCGACCAGUUGGACCUUCCGGGAAAUCAAUGCCGUAAGGUGGAUAAUUUGCCUUGGCGGUAGUGUUCAGGUCAUUGUUGUUGCCAUUGUCAUCUUGUGAGUCACCGAAAAUGAAGUAACAAGGGACCUGUGGAUUGCCCAGAGCAAAUGGUUGCAAGAAGAAGAAGAUGACCAUUCCUACGACGGGCAAGAGAACCCAUUGCUUUGUUACAAAAGUCAUGAAUGCCGAUGAGGAAAGAAGCAAGUGAUAGGAAAAGCCAGACGCGGAGGUACCAAAGUCAUUGCCAAAAUAUAGAAGGCAGAGGAGCUAUUGCAGUUGGCUGUAGUGGUGGUCCACCUUGGGAGAGGGCGGAGCCACUCCAUCUCCAUGUGCAGCCUGUUAAACCUGACCCGGCAAAGGAGUCGGUGAUUGAUUCAACUAAUGAAUUGAUUGUUGAAUCUGUGGGUCGAUCACUAAAAAAAUAUUUAUAAGGGUAAAUUAUAUUAACUUCCCCUCUUGUUUUUACAAAAGUUAGGGAUCUCCACUCUUGAUCUCGGAACAAAGAGGACCUCCCCUCUUGUCUGCCAAAUAACAAGAAAAGCUUCCCUACCUAGCUAUGAUCAGGGGAGAAAUGUUAACUACUUUUGUCAUAAACUCAAUUCAAAGUCCCCAAACCACCAUUUCAAUGACACAAGUAAUUAUUUCCAAAAAAAAAUUAAGAAAAAUAGAGUGGAGUACCGAUCACACAUAAUUUUAUUUAUAGCCAUAAAAGUAAAUCCAUAAUACUUCUUUUCUAUAUUAGCUUUGCCACAAAAUAAGUUGAUGUCUUGAAUCAUUUAUGUAAUAUUCAUGUAUAUACAAGUUGAAAUUUUAAAUUGUUAAUAUAUUUGAUAAAUGUACAGUUUGGACACCUCAUUUUAUUAGAAUCCAAUUUAUUCUUGAAGUAGGUACACAUGCAAAUCUAUUAAUUUUGACUGGGAAGAAUAAAAAUAAUGAACAAAUUAAAUAUGGGAAAUCUUCAAAUUUUAAUGCAUAAAAAUCGCUUUAUUCUUCUUUUUUCCCCCCAUUUCUUAGAGAACUAAAGCUCUUUGUUUUGACAAUUUUCUUUUGUUUAAUAUAAGAUAAAGGGUAAAAAUGUAAAAUGAAAACUAUUGUAAAUGUUGACUUGAUGGAAGACAUUAUUGAUAAGAGAGGCUCAUGUUGUCUCAGAAUCACGAGAAGAGACCCCUGACUGUUGCAGGAAACUAGAGGGGAGGUCAGUGUAAUUCACCGUCUUUGCAAAUACAUGUGACAUAAUUAUUAGUUAUCUUGAGGUGCGUAGAAUUUAUAAAUAAAGUACUUCAUCAAUAUUAAUUAGUACAUCUAAAAAGAUAUAUUUUGAAUAUAUAAACUUAAUAAAUGAGUCAAUUUCUUUAUAUCAUACUUUAAAAAUAUAAAGCAUGCAUUCAAAGAUAAACAAAAAAUUAGCUUAUUUAUUAAAAGAAUAGGCUUUUAAGGAAAUAGAAUUAAGUUUUUGUCAAUACUUUGCCAAAAAAAUUCAAUUAAUUUUCAACCGUUGUUUACGUAAUAAUAACACUUUCAUAUUGAAAGUUGAAUUAAUUAUGCAAUAAUAAAGUAAACAAAUACAUUUGAAGGGACAUUUGGUCAACAAGUGAAAGUUUAUUUCCAAUAAUAAAGUCUUUUGCACGUCAAUGAAGACAUUCAUAUUUCCCCUUGAGAAAAAAUUGAACUUUAAACAAAAUUAUUUUGAGAUUCAAGGUCCAGACAUUGGUAAAAACAUACAUUUUGAUCCAAAAACAAAGACCUAUGUUAUUCAUCGCAGGGGAGGUUAGGUCAGUCCAAAUAAGGCUUGACCGAUUACAUAUUGUCAAAUUAAUAAGAUAAUUGUACACAGAUAUACAUCGGUCCAAUCUCAUUCCGAAUCAAUACUAUGAAGUGGACUCACAUUGGGUCUUAAUAUAUACAUGUGUGUGUGUGUGUGUGUGAGAGAGAGACCUUGAAGCAGGUUGGGCUUGGGCCACCAAGAUUUUAUUACCGGUUCGAUUUUAAUAUAUAGUAUCAGGACGUAGAGAUUAUGAAUUCAAAUUUCCUUUUCGCCUACUCUUUGUUUUCUAAAUCUCACCUCUUUUAAUUUUUUUUUUUAAAGUAGGUUAUAUAGUUGUAAGAGUAUAUAGGGUUAGAACAAUCACAGGGGCAAACUAGUAUACCAUGGUAUAAUCCCACCCCUUAUUUAUCUUGGGAAAACUGUUACCACCUCCAAUGUAAGAUUAUUUUAUCUUACGAAUGAGGGAUUAAUUUGGUAAAAUGAAAAGUCUAAUUGCAUAAAACUAACUAAAUAUGGGAUAACAUAAUAUUAAUAAUUUAAUCCUAUGUCAUCUCAUGCAACAAACUAGCGAAGUCUUUUAGACUAAUAAAGGCACGGUUUGAAUCCGAACGUAUUAUACUGACUGUCAAUUUAUUGUGGCAAAUCUGGAAAUCUAGAAAUGAGAAACAGUUCAAUGGUCAGGAAAGGAAUCCGUUAGUAGCAGUGAGUAAGGCAGUGGGGGAAUGGAAGGAGUUUCAGGAUGCUCAAGCAGAGGAAUUGGAGAGUCAGGGAAGUGGUAAGCAUGAAGCUGAGGGAUCAAGGGGGUGGAGGCUUCCUCAGGAAGGUUGGGUCAAGAUAAACACAGAUGCUGCAUUACAAAAGAAGGAAGGUCUGGCGGGAUGGGGAAUGGUUGCAAGGGAUUGGCAAGGGAAAGUUCUGAAAGCUUGGGCAAUACCAAACCGUAGCUGUUCUAAUCCAAAACUGGAGGAGUCAUUGGCUUUAAGAGCUGCCAUGUUGCUGGCAAAACAGCAGGGUUGGAAGAAGGUGAUGUUUGAAUCGGACUGCCUACAGGUGGUGGAGGAAAUUAACAAGGAGCAGUCGUAUGAGAUAGGCUCAGUAGUAUUAGAUGAUAUCAGGGAACUUAGGAAAAAUUUUUACGAAUGUUGUUUUACCUUUACUCGAAGAGUAAACAACUUUGUUAGCCAUAGACUUGCCAAAUUGGCAAUUAGCUUAACAAUACAAACUGAAUGGAAGGACAUCUUCCCAGACUGGCUGCCUGCACUGGUGCAAGCAGAUAUUGAGGGCAGUUGCCCAUCUUUCAUGUAAAGUUUAUGUUCAGUAAUAGAAUGUUACCGACCUUUUGACAAAAAAAAAAAAGAAUCCUCACUCAAUCAAACAUGUGAUUACAUAAAGGUCUUUUAGAACUAUAAGAACACUUAAUAAACUUUGAACGAGGAUUCUGCACAGACAUUGGGCUUUUACACAAUUCUAAUAGUAAUUAUAAAUGGUCUGAGAUUAAUGAUAACAUAUUGUUUCCAUUGAGGAGAUAAUGUCAUACUAGCACAUUCGGACUCUCCAGUUUUAUUACAUCGAGUUUGACUUGUUGGAAACUUGGAAUAUAGAAAUAUCAUGGGACACAUAGAUACAGUCUAUUGUAUCUUCACUUUAUCAUGACAGGUUUUGCCUGUAGGCCGCCAAUGGCAAGAGGAUCAGCAUCAAGUAAUGAGGAUAACGCAGAAUAUGCUAAUCUUGAAUAUGCUUCAUUGACUACUUCACUGGGAUGGAAAUCAUCCCAAAAAUAAUAUUGGUUCCUGUUGCUGCAGGGAAUUUGUCCAGGAAUACACUGUCCACGAGCAACUGUUGCAGACACGUUGCAGCAUGGUGCAUUGCCAAUUGUAAUUUCUGAAAUAGAUUAAGUGUAAGAUUGAAUUAAAAAGAGAGAACAGAACCGGCAAAAAAAAAAAAAACAGCGGAAUGUAAGACAGCAGGAAAGAUACAAUGACUUCAUUUGUUGAAAAAAAAAAAAAAGAAAACAAGAAACAUAAACUAACUAAGAUCUCCUCAACAAUAAUUUUUUGAAUGCAGUAUUUAUUAUUUAUUCAGGUUGAAUCUAUUUUGUGAAUCAAACAGAAUGUUCCAGUAAAAUAGGAGCUCAACGUACCUGCCGGGGUGGAUAAAUUGUUCAAAUUGAUUGCUCUCACAUCUACAUAAAGAAAUUGUGCAUCGCUUAACUCGGUAUUCAGUUCUUCAACCAGUGGCUUGAGCUUGUCAUUGAAUAACAGAACUUCAUCGUUAAUAGAAUCCACACAGUUACCAUCUGCAGAUAACUCAGCAGGUAUGCAGCCAAGCAAACCAAGCCCAAAAACAGCUAUUUUUCUUGCCCCCAAUCUGUACAAAGUCUAGCACCAAAAGGGUUUCAAGUUAAUUUUCUUUUUCUUUUUUUUUUUUUUAAAUUUAUAUACCUGGUGAACACGAAAAUAAUGAACGAAGACUGAAUUUUGUUAAAGAAAAAUAAACAUAAUAAUAACUAAACCAACCCGUAGUUGCUGAGAAUAAUGCCUAAUUAACAAGCUGGCAAAUUCUGUUGGAGUAUAUAGGUGGCUUGUAGGAUAAUAUUCUGGCAACAAGUAGUUGUUGAUGUAGUCAUUAUUCCCCAAUGCAGCAGUGUACAGACAUUUGGCCAGAUAUUCUUUUGUUGCAGAUCUGUUUCCAAUCAACCGCACGAUGCGCGAAAUUACUCUCUCGUGAUUGUGCAAUUGUUCGUUGAAGCUGAAGAGAUCGCCCUAUUAGCAAAUAAAAAAGCAUCAUGCAGAGCGGCUUUUGGUCAUGUUACCUCCUUCAUGUGAAAAUUAACAAUAAAAUAAAGAGCAAAGCACCUAUACUCUUUUUUCCCGCAUUAUAUUUAGAUUUUUUCUUUAAAAGUGGGAUUCUUAUGCUUUAUCUUGCACUGACACCUAAGGUGUUGAUCGCUCAAAAACCAUUGCAUCUACUUUUUGCCUUGCACAUACAUUAGGUUGUCAUAAAAUUCUUAUCCUUUUUCCCUUCUCAAUUACUCCUUUUUGUUAAAAUUUAUGCCUCUGAGCUCCCUUUCUUUGUAUUUUCUAAGAAAUUUUAUUCAAGCUGUAGGACUUAUCAUCUAUAAUUAGGCAACGAGAAUAUCUUUGGGUUAGCUUCCUUUUAUUGAGCAAUUUCAAAGAGCUGAAUGUGUUUAUCAAACAAGAAAUCGGACACUAAUAGAAACAAGAGAUCAAGCUAUGACAAUCUAAUAAAACCUUAUGCAUAAAUUGCCAUCUAUAGCGUGGGUUGAGCAGCAAAUUACUUCCUAUAGACGAUCAACCAGACGAGUGGCCCAGAUUUUUGGUACAGGAGAAGUGUGAAAGACAUUUAUGCCCUCAAUACAUAAUACUUUGGUAGUUCUAUUAUUUUUAAGAGUGGUGUUAUUAUAUUCUACUAGUAAAGAACAUUGUACACUGCUCUCUAGAAAAUGGUGAUACAAUUGUAGAUAUAAAAAAUGAAAUAAUUUCAGAAACCUCCCAUGAGUUUUCUGACACUUUCACUGACCUCUUUUGAAAUUUCAAAAAUUACACUAUCCUCCUUUGAACUUAAGGUUUUGGUAACAAAAUCAGUCCAACUCAGAAAAAAGCACUAUUGAAAAAGUAUUUUGAGGAGUGAGAUGAUAAUUUUCUUUCAUAUAUGCCCUUUUCUAAUUGUCUUCAAGUUGUAUUAGUAAAGCAAAAAAUAAUUAAUAAAAAUCAAGGAAUAUAUGUAAAAUUUGAAAAGAUGCAGCAACUAUAACCUGAAGCAACAAUGGUUUUUGCACAUGCUAGUGCAAAUUGUAAUGGCCAUAUUUUUUGUCAUUUGCAAGUUGCAACUAUAUAUAAAAGACACAACUAACUCUAUAAUGCCAUUAAAUUAUUGGUAUAAGCAUCUAAAUUUGGGCAAAAAAAUUAAUCUUUUUAUUGUAGUUGACGAGGUAAAAGUAAAUAUAUUGAUGCAGAAAACAUACAAGUCUUAGUCAACAAAUCAACAAUAAACAGUAUAAAUAGUUUUGUUUAACCACAAGAUUCAACAAAAUAAGUUAGUCAAAAAAAUUUUCUAUUUCUCUUGCUCAUAAGGUCUAUUUGUGCAGAUUAUAUAAGGUUGUCUAUUCCAAUUAUUGUCAAGUGAUAUCAAUCACAAAAAAAGUGCCAUCUUAAGAUAGCAAUUGAUGCAAUUUUUUGAUUGUAAUUAUGGUUGCUAAUUUGAGAUGAAAUAAUCAUAUUUUGGUUUAAUUAGUUAAUCUUAUUUAUUUAGUGCCCUAAUCUUUUUUUUUGUCAUAUAUCCAUUUGUAAUAAUGCAUAACAUCUUAGGGCAAAGUAGUACUUUCACUAUAUUUUAUAUAAGUAAUUAAUGGGUCCAAAUUUUUGGCAAGAGAGGUUAGUAUAAUUUUUAAAAUCUUAAGGGAGGUCAGUGAAAGUGUUAGAAACCUCAAGAGAGGUUUCUGAAAUUAUCCCAUAAAAAAUUACAUAAAUUAUUUUUACUAAAAAAAUUUAGUUGUGAUAAAUUAUACUAUUUAAUUUUUUUAGAAGAGAAUACCAAUAUAUAUUUGAAUAUCAAAAGGAAUUAUGAAUAAUGAGAAAGAAACAAAAAUUGAAUGUCAAAUAAUUUUUAUAAAUAUUUAAUUUCCAUUUGUUGUGAUAAGGAACUAUCACUAAAAAUACAAUACUUUUUUGUUGUGUAUAUACUUAACCGGUAUAUAAUAUCAUGUUAUGCAUGCACACAUAUAGUUACAUAUACACACACACACAUACAUACAUACAUAUGUCGGUACGUGGGCCAUGUACCCUUUUGCCAAUCUUGAAUUCUCGGUGCCAAAUUUGCAUAUAUAUGUAUGCAUGCAUGCAUGUAUAUAUGUGUGUAUAUGUAUAUCUAUAUAUGUGUAUGUAUGUGUUGCAUUUUUUGAAAGUAAAUUAAAUAUAUACUUUUUUUGAGUCAGAAAACAUUCAUUUUAGUAAUAAUUCCUAUAACAUUAAAUAAAAAUUAUUAUUCAUGAGAAAAUUUUCAAUUUCGUUUUUCCUUGUUUGUCCUCAUUAGUAAAUUCCUUUUGAUGUUUAGACAAUUUUUGAUACAUUCUUAUGUAAAAUAUUUCAAUAUCAUAAACUAUCAUAAGAAACUAUAUGUCGUUUAGUAAACUAAUUUAAGUGAUCUCUACAAUUACAUCUCCAAUUAUCACCAUUUUUUGGACAUCAAAUUAUUUUGUUAAUAGUUUAAUAAAAACAUUUUUUAAGGACAAAAUUGUCGAAGUAUUAUACAUCACAAUGCAUGACUAUCUUGUCAUACCUCUAUAUAUAGAAAUUUAACCCACAUGUUUGUUCGUUUGUCUAUAAAUAGCAAUUUAUCUGUUUUGGCAUUAUAGGUAGAGGGUUCAAACUUCAAAAAAAAAAAAAUGGAAAAACCAGUUGACGCAAUUUAGAUUGAAUUUCGGAUCUAGGUAAAAUCGAAAUAUAUCCAUUUAUAAUAUUUGAUAAAAUAGUUUGGGAAUGGAUAUUAAAAAUAUAUUUUCAAAUUACCAAUUACUAGCUGAAUUUUCAAUAUAUAUAUAUGUGUGUGUGUGUGUUAUAUAUGUACAUAUUACUAAAUAUUCAUUAGAAAUUAGUUAACUAUUGAUUACUCUAGUGCAGUAUUUACUAAUUUACUACUAACGAACUUAGUGAUUUCCCACUAAAAUUGGUCAAUAGCAGAGACAGGAGCAUGCAGAUUCUCUCUACCGGCUGGUUCUUUUUGCAUUGUCUCUAGAACCGAUGGCCUAAAGCUGGCAAGUUACUUUGUUUUCUUUCUUUUUCUUUUUAUUUUCAUUUUCCUUUUUCUUUCCUUAAGUAAUUUUACCACUUUAGCAUGCCAUGCGGUUUAACUGUGAGGAAAUUAUUUCUAAAGUGGAAAUUAUGUCAACAAUGACCCAACGUAUAUGAAAAGAUUUCAUUUGAAAAUUUCCUAAAAUUGACAUUCUAUAGAUACCUGUGUCUAAAUUCAAUACACAGACAGCAUUAGGAUCGGUAUUUGGUGGACCAACCAAAGAAGAAUGUGCAUAAGAUUAUGACAAUAUCCUCCAAUUCGAUCCGUAAACAGCCUAGAUACUGGACAUAGCUCGAAACAUGACAAAUAACUAUCCUGCUCUUCGUCAAAAUUGACUAAUGAAAAUAAUUCUGUAUGCCUAAAAUUCAGGAUCUACGCAGUCGCACCUACAAUAGCAGAAUACAUUUAAUUGUCGAAAUCGUGGCACAUUGGUUCAGUCCAGUUUGAUCUGAACAAUUCAUUUCAAAACAUUUUAAUUUGAAAUAAAUGGCAAGGUCAUAUGCAUUAUCUGAUUUGAACUACUAAUUGUACUGUGCAUCUACAGGUUCCCUCAUCCAAAAAGUCAGGAUAGUGUCAAAGCUUGGCCCUAUCCCUUUGCAUUCGAAGCGGCAGGAAUGCGCCUAGACUUCGAUCUAUGCUCAGUGGACAAUCAUUCUUGUUUUCCUUUUUCUCUUCUUUUAUUUAAAAUCAUGUAAAACGUGUAUUUAGAUACUUGAAGAACACCACAAAAAAUGAAUGGCCAAUAUUGAUCUAUUAGUACCGUACUGUAUUUUAGGAUCCCCCCUCAUUGUUUACCUCUCAAGAAAAGUUUGAUGGAGUGUCAUCAUCAUUUUGCAUAUUGAACUUUAUCAUGUUAUUCCUUCCCAAAAAAAAAAAAAAAAAAAAAAACUUUAUCUUGUUAUUGUAGUGCUACAAAGUGCAGACUUCAUUACAAGACAGCAAUCUUUUCUCACUUUUUGGAUGUAACACAAAAGGUUUGGCACACAACAUUACAUUUCAGAUUUUUUUUUUUUUUUAUGUAGCAUGGACAGGGACAAAUCUGGAAAAUUGGGGUCAAUUAAUGAUUUUAUGAGGAUGUUGAUAUUUGACAAGAGUUGGAUUUCCAAAAUUAACUGCAAUUACAAGACAAUGGACUACUAAACCAAUUCUUAGCAUGUGGAUGUACAAAUCUAACUAUUUAGUUUGCAUUAGCAAAAGUAGAUGCAUGCACCAUCAUGUGAUUAAAACAGAAGAAAAAAACAAAAGCUUUAAGAAUGUCGAAGUUAUUUCGGCAUUUUUCUUUUCUUUUGCAACCUUUGUUGUGGGAGUAUGUCAUCGGUAUCAACUUCUAAGCACCUAUUUUUUGAGAAAAUAAGCUGUCUGCUUACCAGGUGACGACCUGUCUGAUCAAGAAUUCCAGAUGCUCCUGAAGCAUAAUUAAUGCCUUUAGUGAUAUCCCGGCCUUCUGUAUUUGCAAAUGGAGGUAUGUAGCUGUCAAAUCCAAGGAGCUCACCUGCCACAAAGAGACGUACACUUUCUAAUUCAUACCACGAAUUAUUGGACCUGGAUCCUGUGCAACCGCAAGGGCAAUUGACAAAUUUGACGCUCCUUCAUUUAUUUAGUCAUAUUUAGAAAAUUUAACUUUUAAAAAUAAUAGUUUAAUUGUGAUUUUUGUGUUUCUUUUUUCUAAUUUUAUUCCAAUAAAUUUGAAAUUUAAAUUUAAAUAAUAACAUAAAUAUGAUUAAAAAAAGAAUUAUAUUAAAAAAGACACUAAAAUAUAUUUUGAUUUUUUUAUAUACGACAAUUAUUUUAGAACAUUACAGAAUGAAAGUACGACACUUUCAAUAUCAUGAUAUGAAGGGAAUAGUUUAGAUCAGUCCAACUAAAUUUGAAUUGAUCUCAACGGUUAACUUAAAAUUUAUUGAGUUGUUAUCGGCCGUCGAAUGGCCCAUACGGUUGUACGUAUAACUGCAACGGGUCCAAAUCCCAAACUGUUGAUGUUGAUGUAUAACAUACAGGGCUGAGGGCACCAAUGAUUGUCGUUGAGAACAGUUCUGAAUUGAAUUAUGUAAUAUUUUUUUGAAUAAAAUAUAAGUCUACAUAAAUUAUUUGUAAAAUUUAAUAAUAGAGACAUAAUUAUUACAUAUGGAAUUUACAUAAAUAGUAACAAAAUAUCACAUCCAUAUUAUAAAGAUGUAUAAAAAAAUUUACAUAAAAUUAUAAAAUAUUUAAAAAAUAUUACACUGUUUCCCGCUCUCAUAACAUACGAGAUGGCAUGCACUAACUAGCAGCUUGCCGCCUAUGGGAAAAUGUCUAUAAGAAAAAAAGUCUUUCUGAAAGACAAUAUAUAAACAAAAAAAUUCUAUAAUAUAUAGAAACAGGGGUUAAUUUCACUUUGUCCCCCCAAACUUUGGACGAUUACCCACUUCAGUCCCUAAACUUUAAAAUGGGAUACUUAAGUCCCUAAAACUUAUAAAUUGGGACACUUAAGUCCCUAAACUUAUAAAAUGAGUCACUUAAAUCCCUAAACUUAUAAAAUGGGACAAUUCGACCACCAACGGCAUUCAGGAUUCUGUCAACAAUUUUCCUUAAUUGGGAAGUAUUUAUAAGUUUAGGAACUUAAGUGUCCCAUUUUGAAGUUUAGGGACUGAAGUGGGUAAUCGUCCAAAGCUUGGGGGGACAAAGUGGAAUUAACCCUAGAAACAGUGACCAAGUCAAGAAUUUAUGAUAACAGCAGUGACUCGUGAAUAUUGAAUUAAUUCUUUACGAGUCUUAAAAAUAAUAGAAAUUAAAGAAGUCCGGAAAGCAAAAAUCGGGGGAUUUUUAGGGCGAGGGGGGUGAUUCUGAUAUAUGUCAUUUUAGUCAAAAUAGCAUGGGCACAAGAGAAGGUCAUUUUACAAAAACUUCAAAACUUAACAGAGAGAGAGUUAAAAGAAUAUUUUAAAACUUAGGGGGUGCAGCUCUUGGUCGCCUGCUGCCUCAGCCUCUAAUAAUGGAUAGGAUAGGAAAGAGAUAGUCACCAAUGAAGUCUGCAGGAUUUCGGCCAUUGGUGAAGCGACCGGUUGGACCUUCUGGGAAAUCAAUGCCGUAAGGUGGAUAAUUUGCCCUGGCAGUUGUGUUCAGGUGAUUAUUGUUGCCAUUGUCAUCUUGCGAGUCUCCAAAAAUGAAGUAGCAAGGGACCUGUUGUUCGCCUAGGGCAAAUGGUUUCAAGAAACAGACAACCACUACAAUGAUGGAUAGGAGAAACCAUCGCCUGGCUGCAAAAGCCAUGAAUGCAGAUUGACAAGAAGAAAAAGGCAAUGGUAGGUUUAGCAAGUCAGAGGAAAAGGCAAAUAUGGAGGCACCAAGGAUGCAGAGCGGGAGCCAAUAUUUUAUACAAGGCGGAAGCACUACUGUAAUUGGUCGAUUCUGUGGAGUGAAUUGGAACUCGUCAUUUCUUAGACAACUGAAUUUUGUACGUGACUGUAAAAAGUAUUUUUCUGGUCAUUUUGUUUGUGCAUGAAGAAAACUUUUUCAGUGUACAUACUACAUACUAUCAUUAAAUACACAAUUUGUAAUAAUAGUGUGUUUGGACAGCCAAUUAUUUGGCCAAAUAUAUUUGCUGACAUCACCAUCACAAUUUUCAAUACACUUUUUUAUCUUCUCAAUUACCUUUUUAUCUCACAUACAUCACAUCACAAAAAGUGCUAUAGUAAAAAUAUUUCAAAUAACUUACAAUCCAAACACACUCGUGUUUCAGAGAUAAUCAUGACGUUGAACCAAAUGAUAGUACUAUUUUUGUGUACUGUACAACUAUAGAUCAUAAUUGAAGAUCGGUUAUUUAUUUUUACAUAUCAAAAGUUUGAAGAUUUUUCAUUUAUUUUCAAAUAACACUUAAUUUAUACCGACUUUAAGAAAUUUUCAAUAGAAAAAAAAAAAAAAAAAAGAGUUGGGGCCUGGGGUAGCAAUUACCCGCCCUCGAUUGGACAUGGUUCCGCCCUGAUUCUGCCAGCCAUUAUUUAUGCACUACAGCCCACAAUAAUGCAGAAAGUAGUUACCAGCUGGAUUUUUAAUAUUUAAUUGGCCUAUGCUUUAACUUUAUACUGGAGCCAGUUGAAUUUUUAUUGUCCUUUGGUAAAUCCGACAAGGAUUACUGAAAAGUGGGGGGUGACGGUUUUGCACAUCACAUCAAUGUCCAAUGCAGUACUGCAUGCGAAAGCACUGCAAUGGAAUGGCCUUCUCAUCUUAAACAAGUUUCCGGAGUUGGAUGCAGCAGGAAUUCAAAAUUCCAUAUGUAGUAAAAAUUUUUUUUAAAAAGGUGUUAGAGCACCUCUUUAAUUUAGUUAGAUUUGCAUACCUGUUAAUUGCUUAUAUAAUCUCUUUAAACUUCCCUUCCUUGCAAAAUAUAGAAUAGAUUAGAUUAUAAAUAUAUUAUAAAAAAAUAUGUACACCGUCCUCUCUAAACUCUCUUCUCUAUAAAAUAGGAUAUAUUAUAUUAUAAAAAUAUUAUCAAAAAUAUGUACACUGUCCUCUUUAGACUCUUCUUUUUGUAGAAUAUGAUAGAUUAUGUUAUAAAAUGGUUGUAGCAAAAAAAUAUAAAAAAAGUACAACGCCUUCAAUAUUACUCUGUAACCUACUUUAUUUGGAUUGAGUGUUUUUUUUUUUGACAAAUUAUUUUUGUUUGUGAAAUUUAUGGUAACAAACUUCAAAAAUAACUCUAAAAACACAUAAUUUCAAAUACAACUUAUAAAAAUAAAAAUUAAACUAAAAAAAUUAAAUAACAAAUGUAACAAAUCCUAUCAUCCAUUUUUCUUCUAUUCACUACCCAUGACAUACCAUUACCUACCAUUAUCCAUGUCCUCGUCCCUCCUCCUCUGCCUCUUCCUUCUCCUCCAUUUUUCUUUUCCUCCCCUUCCCUCUCCUCUCCCUUCCACUGCUGGCCCCAGCCAAGCCUUUCCCCCCUCUUAUUUCCCUUUUGGUUGCAACCAAAAUGUCACGAGAGAUCCGGUUGCCACCAAAAGAGGAAGAAAUAGGAAGGGGGGUCAACGAGAGGUGAGAGAAGGAAAGAAAGAGGAAGGGCGAGGAUGGAAGAGAGAGGAGGGGAAGGGGAUAGUGACAACAGUAGAGGAAGGAGUAGGGGAGGGUAAUGGACUAUUUUAAAACAAAUUUAUAAAAAAUAUUUAAAAAUUUUUAAAUUCUAAAAAUACCUCAAAACACAGAAUUCAAAUGAAUAAUCUACAACAAAUUUUUUUUACAUAUAUUGCUACAGUAAAUUUUUUGAAAAAGAACCCUAAAAAUAUCUAAUUCAUAUGGAGUUUACAAAGAUAUUUUAAGUUUCUAGUUGGAUAUGUUUUAUGCUCGAAUGCUCAAUAUAAUUCCAAUUAUAAAUUAUUGGCACCACACCACAAUUCAGAACAUAUUACAUAUGGAAAGGAAUAAGCAUUCCAUGAUGAAGAGGUAGAUGCCUUGUUUUUUUAAGCAAUGUAGUGGUUGAUGCGUGAUAGCCGUUUACCAGUUAUUAAUAAGACUCAUAGUCAAUUUUGUCUUAAGUUACGGAACAUAUUAUUAAUAUUAAUAGUUAUAAGGGUAAAGUGUGUGUGGGUCAUCAAACAUUUCAAAAUUUUCAUUUCGCCUACAAAAUUAUUUUUCGUAUCGAAUAUCCCACCGAAUUUCUAAAUGUUCUUCAUCUUGAUCACUCCGUUAACUCUAACUGCUAAAAUGGAUAGAAGUUAGUCCAUUUGACAGGCCGGCCUGCUUUAAAUAGAUAAUUUGGACAUUUUGCCUGAAACCAUCCGACUCUAGCUCGUUUGGGAGGACGGAUUUGGUGAGAAAAGAAAGAACUAAGAAAGAAAGUAAAAUCAUUUAGCAUUUGGGAGUUUUAAUAGCAAGGAAAUAGAAAGAAAAGGAAGGAUCUCACGUCCUUUCAAGUUACAAAAACCCUCAGCCCAAAAUUAGGCGAAAAGCAUGAGAAAGGAAAGUGAAUUAAAUUUGAUGACCUAUUGACAAAAAAAAAAAAAGGAAAGUGAAUUAAAUAAAUAUUUUAAUAUAUCGAUUUUGCCUUUAUAAAGAUUAUAACAUAACAUUUUCCUAUAUUAGGUGAAUUUCAAGUUUCAAGGGUACUAAUGUAAAAUAGAAUCUUUUCCUUUUACUUCUCUUCACUCCCAAAUAAAAGAUACUCACUUCAUUAUCUUUCUUUGCAAAAACUCCCAAAUAACAUGAAGAAAUAUUACAAUCUCUUCUUCUCUUUUCUAACUUAAGCUUUCGCUUCUUUUCUAUUCUCUCCCAAACUAGCCAUUAAACUUUCAGCUCCCCAUUCGAUGACCCAUUUCUUGUUUAUCUAUUUUCUCUUGGAAUCUAACUCAAUCAUUCUCUCCAAGCCUUAAUAGUUUCUUUUGUAGUCUUGAAUUUUUUUUUUUUUUUUAGUCUCCUGUACAUACAAGUGAGGUUGGGGCAACUUACAUAAAUUUUGUUUCUUUUUUCUAUUGGGAAUCUUUAGAAGGAAACUCUUUAAAAUUUGUGGUGCUCUCCUUUGGUCUGGCUGUCAAGAUUUGAGGGUUUUCUUUUCAAUGCAAUCCUUUGAUUAUUGGCGUUUCUUUAAACCAAUGACACUGAAAAAAAAACCUUGAUCUUAGUGAUUAAUUUUUGUACUAAUGAUUUUAACAUUGAAAAUUUCAUGGGUUUCAGUUUUAAGAAGUAUUACACUCUUUUGGACGUAGCUACUAACUAAACAUAAAGCAAAAACCAUAUACCAGCAAAUAAGUAGGUGGGCUUCAUGCAAAACAUUCAAAUUGUCCAUUCAGAGGCGUUAAUUGUCGUCUAUCUUAACAGCAAAAGCUAAUUGAAUGGACAGUAUGAAGCACUUAAAGUUCAAUGUGCUAUUUGACCUGAAAAAUAUAUAUUUCAGUGAAUGAAAUAAGAAUCUUGAAAACUCUCCUGUGUUCCUUACCCUAGUCAUAAUUGAGGAAAAGUUAAAAGCCCAAAUUGGAUGAUCGCUUUCUAGGGUGCUUUUAGAGAAUAUAAUUGUAAUGCACUUUUCAAUGAAUAUAUACGUGACAUGGAGUGAUAAUUGGGUAACGUGUUUAAAAAUUUUCAAAAACAUACUAGCAAUUUUUUUUGGGGGGGGGGGCUGUUCUCGGACUGAGUAUUUCACUUGACUUCAAAUUCUGAUGUUACAUAAUUCAUGUUUUUUGACAUUCGUUCUCUUACGUUUGUGCAUAGAUUUAGAUUUUUUUUAAUGGUGAAAAAAAUGUUGGAAGUCCUGAACUUAAAUAACAGUAACUUUUGCUCAUUCUAAUUAAUUAGCUUUUUAUAAAAUUCACAGCUGACAACUGCCUUUCUUGUAACAGUAAAACUCACAAUUGCAUGUAUAAUCAUUUUCAAUCACCCGAUUACCUUCAUCAAUCCAUUAUUAGGUCUUCGAAACAUGCCAAUCCCAAAAGGACACCUCUUAAAGUGUAAACCAAUGUCCUUGGCUAAUGCAUCACAUAUAAAGUGAAUUUUAAUUUUAUGCACCGAGUACACCCAAUAAUGUCAUGGGCUGAAGCCUCAUAUAAUUUAUCUCACCAGAAUAUAGUAGGGAGUUUGUUAGGCGGAGAAUUUCGACAUAGAAAACUUUGUUUUUUUUUUUUUUGAGGGAUCCACAUAGAAAACUUACUAACCUUUUUCCUUGUCGUGUAUCCAUUUUACACGGUUUAUAGGGCUAUAUACCCCAUAUUCCGAACUCUAUGGCAGACAUGACAGUAGCUCAAAUUCAACGAGCAAUGGGAGAUGCCAGGAACGAUAACCAUGAAGCCAUCAAAAUGGCAAUUGUACAAGUCUUGACAUGUAGAAAAAAAAAAUCAUUAUCCACUUAGAAUUUUCCCUGUACUUUCAGCCAAUCUCCAACCACAAAUCUGCCCAAACUACCAAACAAAUUACUCAGUUGUUUUUACUUGAAGUGGCAGAGCCAUCUCAUUACGAGAGUAACAACUCAUAUGGGUUGGCCUACUCUCAGAACUCUUCACAUGUGAAACAGGAGGUGCACAGGAAAAAAGGGUACAAAAGGACCGUUGUCAUUAACGGACAAUUUUGUCUCCCAGCUAGAUAUAUAAUGUCCCAUUUCCAUUUAUCAUGUUCUUGAACCAGAGAAAUCAUCAAGUCUCAAAUAAACACAUAUAGAGUAGUAUUCAUUCUUACUGCUAUAUUUUUUUUUAUUUAACUUUCAUCUUGUACUUGUUUAUUUUAAUUAUGGUACAAGGAGCAAUUUGAAUAAGCAUUGUAUGACUAGUUAGAUUGAAGCUAUGAUAUGAGAAACUUGAAUAUGGGUUUUGUAAACUACUGUACUGUUGGGGAGAAAACCCUGAGAACCAAAUAAAGAGGUCCAAUAUAUGAAUGCUCAUAUUACACCCAAGUUGCUUCCCUAGUCCACCGCAAUACUCAAGACUAAUUCAACUAUUUGGAGCUAAAUCGUGGACCCUAUUUUCUUCAACACGUUAAUAGAAUCCCCGUCAAACCCCUAGUUCCAAGAUAUAUACACCAACUAGACUUAACAUAUUACUGGCUGCAUGGCCCAACAUAAGACGAUAACAAUCUAUCCGUCCGACAAAAAGAUAGCAAUUUACUGAUCUAUUAUUGAGAAGAAACAACUUGCAAAUAUGUAGCCUAGACUCAAACUCGAAACCUUUUUAUAAAGUGUAAAAUGAAAGAUCUCAAAUUUAGAAUCUCUCACUUACACUCUCUUCUUCUUCUGUACUAUUCAAUCUAUCCCUUUUCCAUAACUCGAAAACUUUGAUACCAUUGGUUGAGAAAAAAAAAAAAAAAUCAAAGAGAGCCCAUCAUAGAGGCAUAAAAUAUUUGGGAGCCUAAUGCCGAUGCAAAAGGUUAAAUUGAUAGGUCUUAAACCCUUAUCUAUAUAUUAAAAACUCUUUUUUUUUCUCUAAAAAUAAGGUAGGAUAACUAAUUUUACUCAUGAACCUAAAAAUUGUUCAAUUUGAUGGACCGGGAAAUGAACUUGCCCAGUUAACUUAGUCUAAUGUCUAGUUGACUCAUGAGACGUGUCCAGUUUCAUUACUUUGGAACUCCAACAUAAACUUACCAUGAUCACUUCAGAAGAAAAUAUUAUAUAUGAAUUUCCUCCAAUAGCCACUUUCCUCCUUAAUUCAAACAUAGACUUCCUUCCUUUAGCUAAUACACCACUCUCUAUAAUUCAGACCCCAUUCCAGCAUCUAGGAGGAAUAUUCCACCAAAAUGUGAACCCCCAAAAAAAAAAAAACAAAUAUGUAAUAGACUCUUAGGUUAAUGUGGUAUGGCUGAUGAAGCCAGUAAUAUAUACAACCACACAAUUGAAGAUAAGAGUUGAUGGUUCGGGAGGCAAUGAUCAUUUUAUGGACGAGAUGCGAGUAAAGUUGCGGGUAAUGUCCGGCAAUUAUAGCAAGACUUUUCAUGUACUGUUGUCCUACUCUAGUUUUGUUCGGUAUGAAAUGGUAAACGAUUUCAUCUCAGGAUUUUUGUCUAAAGAACGUCAACGUCUAAACAGCUGCAAAGCAAUUUACCAAUUUAGCAUACAAUAACCCUUCGCGCAAUUUAGCAUUUAACCUAUUUCCAAAGCACCAUUAAAUCACUAUUAGUUUCCUUCUUUAAUUGAUUUAUGUUGGCAAUCAUUUCUUUAGCUUAUGAUAAGUGAAUAAUUUACGUAAUAAUUGUAUGAUAUUUUAUAUUAUUUUUAGUCACUUUGGUUAUAUUACUGGAAAAAAAUGAAUCAUUUUGGCUAUAAUUGGUGAAAAAUGCUUUUAAGUGGUUAAAUAAGGUUUUUAUCACUUUUUACUUGGAUUUUAUGCAUUUUGACAGUUUUGACACAUUUUCAUAUUUCGGCUAUAACUUGAGCUACAAUGAUCGGAUUGAGAUGAUUCUUAAACCAAUUUGAAGAUAAGAGAUAGAUCUACAACUUUGUUGAAGACAUCUGAAUCCAGUUUGAAGGUUUUCCAGGUCAAAAAGCCGAAUUACAAUAGCUAAUUUCUAUUGGUCGAAGCUGAAACAGAGAAGUGAGCAGUCAAGGAUAUUUUGGUCAUUUCUCAACCUACACAGAUCCAAAUAUGGUGAUUCUUGAUGCAUUGGAAAGAUAACUCAAAGGGCUACAAGUUUUAUGUUUUGGUCAAGAGCUAAAUCAUCUUUUAUCAUCAAGAAAAGUUCAGUUGAAGUUGACGCAAAAUCGGAGCAGAGCUGGAAAUUGAACAAAAGUGUACCAAAAUGUCACUGUAGCAAUCCGGUCGGAACUUAGCCGGAUUUCUGGCCGGAUUGUGGUCAGAGAAGGCUGCUCUUUACGCGGAAAACUUAUUUUCACCUCCAACAAGUCACAUGCAAUGCCAGACAUGUGAGAACUACUUUGCAGCUGUAAAAGGGUGGUGUAGGCCUCAUUUUCUUGAUUUCUUUCAUCUUUAUAUAGCCAAAACUUGCAAGAUUGAAAGAAGAAUAGAGAGACAUACGGGAGAACUUGGAGAGUGCAGAGAUGUAACUCUUACAUCUUUUGAGUGUUAGAUUAGUUUUAAUAUAGAUUAGUAUAGUUCAUCCAUUCUUGUAUAUUGGCUAGACUAGGAUGAAGAUGGAAAUGAAGAAGGAGGAGUUGAAGCUCAAGUGACAUGGGUUAUCUCUUCUCCAACUCUUUAUUUUUUGUACUUGAUUCCAAGUUUAGUUAAUAUGCAAAUUCUGGAUUUUGUGUUUAAUAUGUGUCUCUAAAGUUUAUGCCUUGGGUUUGGUUGAACUUUCUAUAAUUGUUAGUGUUUAUUAUUUGAUUAUUUGAUUGCUAUGCUUUGAGCAAGUUAUUUAGCACUUUGACUCUUUAAAUCAUGAUUAAUUUGGUCCCAUUAAUUGUGAUUAUCUAAGGUGUUGUUUCUGCAAUGAAAAUUAAGAUUUAAUACUACUAGUUCAAGAAGUGCUAAACAUAGGGAGUACACUAACGAAAGUAGAGGUGCACCUAUGUGGUUUUUAGUGAUUCAUUUCAUGUAAUUUCACUAAAGAAAUGAACUUGUAACUAAUUUCAUAACCACGAGAAUAGGUAUGGAUUAGUUAUAAGUAUAAUUGAUUCACUACGAAAGUAAGAUUCAAAUGCAUAAGGAAAUUACACCAUAACUAGCCUAGAUAUAAUACUCAAUGAUCCAAAUAUAGCACUUGCAUGAGUAGUUGGGGAUACCACAAUCUAAGGAGCUUUUAUUUGUUAUUUUGUAUAAUUUCAGUAGGUUAAAUUUGUUAUAAUUCGUUAAUAGUCUAAAUAAUAGAGAAGCUUUAUUAAUACAGGUAAUUGUUCACUCUUUCUCAUGGGAUCGACCCGAUAUAUAUCCUAAACUACUAGUUGACCUAUAUACUUGCAGUGAACGAGUGUAAUUCAGUUUUUAACUUGCGCGUAUAUUAAAAUCCCGUCAGCUUAAGAAGUUCCUUGUUUAAAAUCUUUUCCAUCUCUACAACUGUCCUUGCAGGAAUGUGAUGCAGUGGCAGAAGAUUAUUUCUUUGCAUACCCUGACCAGGUCACCUAAAAUAAAUGUACAGACUGAUUUUUUUGGGGGUUACAAAUUUGUAUAUUAUUUGGUUGAAUGGCUACCCACAUCAAAGUAUUCAGAUAAUAUAAAGUUCAUAAGUUCACAAAAAAUAUCCAAAAGAUUAAGGGAGAAAAAAUAUCCAAAAGAUUAAGGGAGUCAUGGAUUUGAUGAAUGUCUGAUAUGAAUCUUGGGUUGACUUGGUUUAUUAUCAUAUUAAAUUUCACUUUUAGACACUUUCUGCUCUUAAGACCUUCAAAUUUGUUCCAUUUAAAUUCAAUCGAUAAUAUUAUUAACAAGACUAACAGAAUAGGGAUACAGUGCAAAUCAAUAACAAAUUGAUGAAUAAGGUUAGAAAGAGUAAGGGGAUUGUAAUUGGAACAAAAUUAUGCAUUCAUACGUACACAAAGCAUAAAACAUGAUAAUUAUUCAUUGCUGUAAAAAGUGAAAGCGGUGGUAGUUUAACUUAGUAAUUUAACAUUAAACAAGAAAAAGAAGUACAACUUCUGAACAAGUCUUUGGUACAUCACGUUUUGCAGUUACUCAGACACUCAACAACAACUCAACAGUAAAAACAGCAAAAUGUAAAUAGUUAUUAAGCAGGUAGACCCUGCAAGACUCUUCAUUUGAUGAAAAUUCUCCAUGUUCAAAGUUGAGCUAAGCGACUUAUGUCAAUUGGAUAUGCAUCUGAUGACUUUUGAGCCCUGUAUGAUCUUCUCCCAACUAUGAUAUUUGCAGCUUCAGUUGGAUGAAAUGCAUCCCAAAAUAGAUGCUGAUUUCUGUUAGGACAUGGAGUUUGAAAAGGAAGACAUGUUAUCUGGCCAUUGUUUCUCCCAACUCCACAGCAACCUCUAUUUGUCACAGUGAAACCUGCGCAGAAAAUUAAAUAUAAUUCGAAGCCAGCCAGAUGCAUUUUCCAACCCCCUCCAAGAGUUGAAUUUUCGUAGUUAACAUAACAUUUUGAAUUUUUUAAAAUUUUUAUUUGUGAAGUAAAAAAUUGCAUCAACUCAAACAAUAAAUGUGCAAAUAAAUUUCUAGGAGAAAUGGCAUGGAAGUUACCAAAAGCAGAGGGACUGCUGAUUAAAUCCUGGAAAAUCCCAUAAGCAUCAAUGUAGAUAAAUCUUGCAUCAGUGAAUUGAUUGUUCAAGGUGUCCACUAAAGACUUAAGUUUGCUAUUGAACAUCUGAUUUGCCGAGUUGAUUCUGGCCACACAAGUUCUGCCAUCAGGGCUAUUUUGGGCUAAUUCAUUUGGACUGCAUCCAAUUUGACCCACUCCGAUCAAAACAAGCUUCCUUGCUCCAAGGUUAUACAAUCUCUAUCGACAAUCAUAAACAUCAAAAUGUCAAACUUAGAACUUUAGAAAGAAAAAAAAAUUAAAGGAACAGUUCUAUUCUAUGAAAUAUGAAUAGGGCUUGUAAAGAACUUUAAGAGGAAAAAAAAAGAAGAAGGAAAUACAUGAAAGAGUAAUUAAAUGAAAGAAAAGAUCGAUAAAGGAAAAACCAACAAGAACUUUUAAAAGUUAGAACUGCUUCUCGAUCAUUUAUUUUCCCUUUUUAGUAAAUUAAAACAAACAGGUGGCUAAGCAGACUGCGUUUAAGUUAUUUUAUUUGAUUCUAUUUUUCUGUUUGUUAUUCUUCAUAGUGCUUUAAAAGAUUUGUUCACAGUUCCUCAUUUCCAGCUCAUAAUUAAUAUCACCUAAACUAUUGUCCUUCUGCCCAAGUCAAAAGGGAGGUCGGUCGACUGGUACAACAUUGGAAAAAACACCCUUAGAAUACGCCUAAGCAAUAAAUACAACUAGCUUUUGUUCAAAGAGGCAGAGACUUCUGAAACAAAUUGUGCGUGAAAUUGUCCAAGAAAUUAAUUCCUCAUGCCGUCACGCAUAGUAGCUUUUGCUACAGCAUGAUGAUCAGAAGUCGAAGGAGACUAGAAGAGUGCAAUUACAUCUCUAAGCAUGACAUAAUGUACAUUUGCCUUUUCAUUUCUUUGCCUUUUCAUUUCUUUCUGUCCUCUUGCCUUUUUUUUUUUUUUCCCCUUCUUCAUUUAUCUCCGUAUAAACAUAGAGUUACUUAAAUUCUCUACCCAAGCAUGCAUCAGCAAAUUUUUUCUCUAUCUCAUCACAUGAUAUGAUAUAUGAAUGGGAUAAUUAAAAAUUUUAGUCAUGGAAAAAUAUGAGUGUCUCACCCUUAUUUGUUGAGAAUACUGGCCAAUAAGAGCAUUAGCAAAUUGCUCAGGUGUGAAUUGUCUGCUGCUUGAGUAGAAUAGAGGCAUGAAAUAAUUGUUAAGAUAGUCAUUGCUGCCAAGUCCAACUGAAUAUAUGCAUUUGCUAAGGUAAGCUGCAGCACGGUUUUGGUCUCCAAGUAAGCUCACAAUUUGAGAAACUGUGCUGUUGUAAUUAUUCACCUGCCCAGUAAAACUAGUUCUGGCACCCUAUGUGAGAGAAUUCAUCAGCACCUUCAUAUGCAUGUAGACCAAAAAAAAAUAUAAUGUAGUUGUCAAAAACAAAGUAAUCUUUUGUAGUAUUACCAAUUGCUGGCCAGUUUCUUCUCUAAUUCCAGCAGCAGCUGAAGCAUAAUUUACUCCUUUGAGUAUGUCUUGGCCCUGGGCUCUUGUGAAGGGUUGAAUAUAUCCAUUGAAUCCCAGUAGCUCAGCUGAUGAUGAAGCAAACACAUUGAUUAGGAAUAAUCAAAAUGAAAAUAACACAUAAAUUAAAAUAUACGUGUGUGUAGAUUAAUACAUGUGUGUGUAUAUAAAAAAAAUGUUAUUUGCAUUCCUAUUUUUUGUUAAUCACACUCUCACUAUCAUUUUAAUCAUAUAACUUUCAUUUAUUAAACUAUAUGAUAAAAUAAAUAAAUAAAAAUUGGGUGUAAUGUGUGUGUGUGUGUGUGAGUGACGGAACUAAAAAAAAAAUUAACUAGUAUACAAAAUCGAUAUUGAAAAAAAAAAAAACCUUUAUACUGCUACGAGAAUUACCCAACAUCACUCUAUAUGCAGUAUGUUUCCAAACUUUACUUGCUAGCCAGAUAUUGCAGUAUCUCGAAAGCGUUCUUGCCAAUGCGGAAAAUAUACGUAGUAAAAUAUAGUAUUACGUGAGACCAUAAAGCGAAUACUUUCUUUGACAUGCAAUUAGUAAACAAUGAAGAACAUGUAGUCAUUAACCGCAUGAAAAUGAUAGUCAAGAGAAUAUGCACAAAAGCAGCUCAUCAUUAGAUGUGACAAGUUCUACGGAUAUUUGCUAAUUCUUCGAAUAUAUAUGUUAUGACUGCAUAUUCAUGGUAAUCUUAUUUUUAAUAUUGUCAAUAUGAAGUUGACCUAAUUUCAGAAUUAGGAAGCUGAUAAAUAUUAGUACCUUUUAAAUAAAGAGAAAGUAUAGAUAUAUACGACCAAUCAAGCAACAAAUUAGUGAGAAAGUAAUAGAGAGGGGGUUCAAAACUCACUUAUAACAUCAACGGUAGUUUUUCCAUUACAAAACCUUCCAGUUGGUCCACCAGGAAAAUCGAUUCCAUAGGGCAAGUAAUUAGCUUUAGCCAAAGAAUUGAUAUUGUUGUUGUUACCAUUGUCCACCAGGGAAUCUCCAAAAAUAAAGUAACAUGGAACCUGGGGCUGUGCUAAAACCCCGUUCGGCACCGCCACCACCACCAUCACAACAAACCCCACCAAGAAUUUCUUGAACUCGGCCCCCAUUUGCAACAUAUUUUAGAAUAAAACAAAAGGGAGUUGAAAGAAUUUUGUAGCUAAAAAAAAAAGGGGCUAGUACUAAAAGGUGGUGGACUCCUUUUAGCUAUUGAGUGAUGAAAUUCUAGGAGCAUCGAGUGUGUUAUUUAUACACAUAUUUUAAGGUCAGACUUGAAAGGCUUGGCAAACAAUUAAUAGGUGUGCAGCAAUUGGUUCUGGGAGUCAAUCAAUCAAGCAAUUAGUAACUUUUAUGGGUGAGAAGUAACGGUGCAUUAAAUUUAACGCGGACAGACUUUGAGUUUCUUUACAGUUUACACUGAAGUCCAAACAGAGUUUGUUUGAAAUGGUCGUCAAUUUGACAAUCGCCCUUUUUGUCUGCACCGAUUGCGAGCGCCAAAGAAGUCGGUACAAGCAUACUUAUAAAGUCCCUCCCGGUCGAGUCGGCCAACCCGAUUUAUCCGGUAGGAUCGAAUUGAUCACUAAUUAGGUGAGUUAAGCAAUAGAUUCAUCUGAUCAACGAUUCAGCGGUUGGAUCACCGAUUUAAAAUAUUGAUUAUUUUUAUAAUUUAAAAUAUAUUAUUAUAUUUUAUAAUAUAACUGUUGUGCAACCUGCGAUUGAACUGGUGAUCCAAACACCUCUUCGGAUCGGGUUUUAAGUCGGGUUUAAGAGUACAAGGUCCAUUUUUCCAAAGAAGUUUUAUCGUUUUGGGCCUCGUUUGUUAGUUUAGCCGAGAGAGAGAGAGCUUAAAUUGCGAGAUAAAUAUAAUUUGACUUUGAAUUAUUCCGAUCAGAGUUAAUCUACUUAAAUUGUUUGGGACAUUUGCAGAGAGAAAUUAAUUUGAAUUUAUGAGUAUUACAGUUUUCUUCUUGAAAGUUUUAUGGACAAGGUAACUUUUCUUUCAUUUCUCUUCAUUUGGCAAAAGACGUUUUUAGUCAUUUUUGCAUUCCAUUUCUUCCUAUACUCUAGAAUAUUUACUUUAUUUUGUGCUUCCAACUAGUGUAGGAUAAAAUUUCACUAUCAUUAAUUAUAGAUGCACUCUUACUUUAUAGGUGACACAUUAAUUCUUAAAGUAUAAAAUCCAUCCCACUUUGAUUAUUAAACUUUGAGCAUCACUUGCCUACUAUUAUGUUAGCUAGUUUUGACAAUCGGUUACAUAUUUUAAGGGAUAAAAUAUCCAAAGUUGAAGUUUAAGAACUAAACUCCGAUUAUACACUUCAGAAAGUAAAGAGCUCAAAAUUAAAACUAACUUAAAAAUUAAAGUGGGCCGGGAGUGCAUCGAUAGCUUAAAAUUGAUCCAGAUGAGCUGAAUUAAGGGGAUGUUCGGAUCCCGUUAAAUUAGUUCCAGUCAUGAUCAGUGAAAGCCUUUUCUAGUUUCUGCUGCAUGUACCAUAUUGAGAUAAAUCCUAGUGACCCUAUACGAAUUGUUUGAUAAUUUCUGAAUAAACUCUUUACUCGUUUCCUUCCGGAGAAAAAGGUUUGCUGCAUCUGUUCGUAAAAUAAAAAUCAUUUGGAUUUGUCUUGUAUUCAAGAUAAUUUAAAACGAACACAUUUAUGUUUACUUGCAAAAUUAAAAACAAUUUCUCACUUCUCCAGUUCACAAGGAAAGACAAACAAAACAGAAACGACUUAAAAUUCACAAUCACAAAUAAAAAAGACUUGAAUAAUCAGACUGAUGGGUCUAGUUUGCACGAGGAGCUUUGAGCACUACAUUUUAUAAACAUCUAAGAAUACGUAUCGAAAUCCAAUCUGAUGCUUCGUCGGUCAUAAUUCAUAAGUCGCCAAGUAUCUAAUUCCCAUCAAAGCAGCAGCCAAAUUCCUGGUUGAACUUUGGACUUGAUUUCCGAAUAAGGUUGUUAAACUUGGACCAGUAAGUGAUCAGCUAAUGGAAUAUCGAGUCGAUCGUGACAUUAACCAGUUCAACCAAUUAAACUGGUUGAGUUACCGCUCCACCUUUUUUUUAAUGUAUUUUAAUAUUUGUUGUCCAUGGAUUUUUCUCAAAUGAUAUAAUGUUGGACAACAGAUUACUUAAACUACAAAAAUGUAUAAGCUAAGCCUCAAAUUUACCUAGUACUAAUUAACAAAACAUAGAAUAUUAAUGUAAUUAACUAAAGAAAACUAAGCAAUUUCGAAAGUAGCACUGAUCAAUUAUUAACAAAAACAUAUAUUUGUAUCAUACAUCGUAUACAGGCAAAACUUGAAGGUCUAAUAAAUUAACAUGGUGAAAGAAAUAGUUCAAAAUUGGGGAUUUAUCAUUUAAUACAAAUAGGACCAAAUAAAUCAUAUUUUUGCAAUGCCAAUGACGUGAGAAGUUUAAAGUUGACACCAAAUGAGUCUUGGAAUAGCCAAAAAAAAAUAAUGAUGAGAGUCCAAAAUUCUAUUGUUAAAAUUUAGAUGAUUUCAUUUCAAAUUACAGUUUUAUCAAACGCACCCUAAAUUCUAUUCAAUUUUCCGCUGCAGAGCACAUAAUUGUAUGUGUACAAAGUUGUUAAGGAUAUCAUCUCUACAUACGGUGUGAACUAUGUGUAGAGGUUUGAUGUGAUAGUGCUUGGCGUUUGAUUUUAAGAUCGACGUAAUACUUGAAUUUUUGGAUUUCAGUCCUUUCUGAUAAUAAGUAAUGACUAGCAUAUAUUCAAAUACGUCUAGAAAUUAGGCGCACAGAUUCUUAUACAUCAUAGUCUAGAUUUUUAAAUGUGCUGCUUUGAAAUUUGAAAGAACAAAUUCAACAUUUUCCUAAAACUGUAAGAAUGUCAUGGCGACAGUAGACACUAGCCCUUUUAACACUAAGCACUUUUGUUAUAGUUAAGUUUAGAAUGACAUGGAAAACGAUGUAGUUAGAGUAUUUCAAAUUUAUGGGAUUUGAAUAAUUUUCUUCCGAAAAGGAUCAAAUGUAUGGGACAAGUGUUGAGUUGUAGAAAAAUAUAUUUAUGACUUAAAAAUACAUUUUUAUAACCAACAAUUACAAGGAAAGCCUUAAGCUAGAGCAGUAGUAUGGCAUCAAUCUUGCAAGCCAUAACAUCAAGAGGUAGAAAUACAAUAGUGAAAAGAAAGAUUUAAGCAUUGUCUCAAUCAUCUCUUUUGACUCUAAUUUAAUUGAAGUUUACAUCUUCAAAGUUGAGCUAAGCGACUUAUGUCAAUUGGAUAUGCAUCUGAUGAC
rnacentral:lncRNA from 1 species